rnacentral:snoRNA from 1 species
AGCCUCGUACCAGCCAGCCCCACCCGUGCCCGAGAUCAACUCCCAGGCGGGCUCCGUGCUGGGGUUCAUCUUGUGCAGUAACAGGUGUGAGCAUCCAUGCAGUGUUUUGAUGGUCAUGUAUGAUACUGCAUACAGCC